GUCAUACGAGAGUUUUUAACUCAAGUGGCGGACGGGUGAGUAACACGUAAGAAUUUGCCUUUAGGAGGGGGAUAAAACUGGAGGCAGUUGGUAAUACCCCAUAUGCUUUCGAGUAAAAUGGAGUUUUCCGCCUAGAGAGAAGCUUGCGGCUGAUUAGCUUGUUGGUAAGGUAAUGGCUUACCAAGGCGACGAUCAGUAUCUGGUUUGAGAGGGCGAUCAGACACACUGGAACUGAGACACGGUCCAGACUCCUACGGGAGGCAGCAGUGGGGAAUUUUCCGCAAUGGGCGAAAGCCUGACGGAGCAAUACCGCGUGAGGGAUGACGGCCUAUGGGUUCUAAACCUCUUUUUUCAGGGAGCAAUAAAAUGACGUUUACCUGAAGAAUAAGCAUCGGCUAACUCCGUGCCAGCAGCCGCGGUAAUACG
rnacentral:rRNA from 1 species